AACUAAUCUGAAGCUACAUGAAGUUUGGAGGUGUGUAGUGAUGAACUAAUCUGAAGCUACAUGAAGUUUGGAGGUGUGUAGUGAUGAACUCUGAAGCUACAUGAAGUUUGGAGGUGUGUAGUGAUGAACUCUGAAGCUACAUGAAGUUUGGAGGUGUGUAGUGAUGAACUAAUCUGAAGCUACAUGAAGUUUGGAGGUGUGUAGUGAUGACCUCUGAAGCUACAUGAAGUUUGGAGGUGUGUAGUGAUGAACUAAUCUGAAGCUACAUGAAGUUUGGAGGUGUGUAGUGAUGAACUGUAAUCUGAAGCUACAUGAAGUUUGGAGGUGUGUAGUGAUGACCUCUGAAGCUACAUGAAGUUUGGAGGUGUGUAGUGAUGAACUAAUCUGAAGCUACAUGAAGUUUGGAGGUGUGUAGUGAUGAUCUAAUCUGAAUCUACAUGAAGUUUGGAGGUGUGUAGUGAUGAACUCUGAAGCUACAUAAAGUUUGGAGGUUUGUAGUGAUGAACUAAUCUGAAGCUACAUGAAGUUUGGAGGUGUGUAGUGAUGAACUAAUCUGAAGCUACAUGAAGUUUGGAGGUGUGUAGUGAUGAACUAAUCUGAAGCUACAUGAAGUUUGGAGGUGUGUAGUGAUGACCUCUGAAGCUACAUUAAGUUUGGAGGUGUGUAGUGAUGAACUAAUCUGAAGCUACAUGAAGUUUGGAGGUGUGUAGUGAUGAUCCACUCUGAAGCUACAUGAAGUUUGGAGGUGUGUAGUGAUGACCUCUGAAGCUACAUUAAGUUUGGAGGUGUGUAGUGAUGAACUAAUCUGAAGCUACAUGAAGUUUGGAGGUGUGUAGUGAUGAUCUAAUCUGAAGCUAGAUGAAGUUUGGAGGUGUGUAGUGAUGAUCUAAUCUGAAGCUAGAUGAAGUUUGGAGGUGUGUAGUGAUUAUCUAAUCUGAAUCUACAUGAAGUUUGGAGGUGUGUAGUGAUGAACUAAUCUGAAGCUACAUGAAGUUUGGAGGUGUGUAGUGAUGAACUCUGAAGCUACAUAAAGUUUGGAGGUUUGUAGUGAUGAACUAAUCUGAAGCUACAUGAAGUUUGGAGGUGUGUAGUGAUGAUCUAAUCUGAAGCUAGAUGAAGUUUGGAAGUGUGUAGUGAUGAUCUAAUCUGAAGCUAGAUGAAGUUUGGAAGUGUGUAGUGAUGAUCUAAUCUGAGUCUACAUGAAGUUUGGAGGUGUGUAGUGAUGAACUAAUCUGAAGCUACAUGACGUUUGGAGGUGUGUAGUGAUGAACUAAUCUGAAGCUACAUGAAGUUUGGAGGUGUGUAGUGAUGAACUAAUCUGAAGCUACAUGAAGUUUGGAGGUGUGUAGUGAUGAUCCACUCUGAAGCUAGAUGAAGUUUGGAGGUGUGUAGUGAUGAUCUAAUCUGAAGCUAGAUGAAGUUUGUAGGUGUGUAGUGAUUAUCUAAUCUGAAUCUACAUGAAGUUUGGAGGUGUGUAGUGAUGAACUAAUCUGAAGCUACAUGAAGUUUGGAGGUGUGUAGUGAUGAACUCUGAAUCUACAUGAAGUUUGGAGGUGUGUAGUGAUGAACUCUGAAGCUACAUAAAGUUUGGAGGUUUGUAGUGAUGAACUAAGCUGAAGCUACAUGAAGUUUGGAGGUGUGUAGUGAUGAUCUAAUCUGAAGCUAGAUGAAGUUUGGAGGUGUGUAGUGAUGAACUCUGAAGCUACAUGAAGUUUGGAGGUGUGUAGUGAUAAACUCUGCUGAAGCUACAUGAAGUUUGGAGGUGUGUAGUGAUUGGUGUAGUGACUCUGCAGAAAGUUGAUGAACUCUGUGCACUAUGCUCCUUAGCAUCCGCUGACCCGGUUCUGUUAUUUUACACUGACAGAGCACAGAGUCGCUGUUGUUCUCAGUCUCUUCCACUGUGUUAUAAUAUCACUGACAGUUGGCUGUGGAAUAUAGUAAGUAGUGAAAUUUUAUGACUGGAUUUAGUUGCUGCAUAAAACUAAACAUGUUGCAUGAUGUUUUACCAGUAGGCCUCACUGUACUAGGUUGAGAUGAUUGAUCUUCU